AUCCAGCAGCAUCCUCUGUUCUCGCGAUCCGCGAGAGCGUUGCAGGCUCUCACGGAUCGCGAGAACAGAGGACCUGCUGCUGCUGGAU